rnacentral:rRNA from 1 species
AGCAUAUUAAUAAGCGGAGGAAAAGAAACUAACAAGGAUUCCCUCAGUAACGGCGAGUGAAGCGGGAAGAGCUCAAAUUUGAAAUCUCCGAUGCUUGCAUCGGCGAGUUGUAGUUGCGAGAAGCACUUUCUAGGCGGAUCGACGGUGCCUAAGUUGCUUGGAACGGCACGUCGCAGAGGGUGACAACCCCGUCUGUGGCGCCGCCGGCCGCCGACGAUGUGCUUUCGAAGAGUCGGGUUGUUUGGGAAUGCAGCCCAAAACGGGUGGUAAACUCCAUCUAAAGCUAAAUACUGGCGUGAGACCGAUAGCGAACAAGUACCGUGAGGGAAAGAUGAAAAGAACUUUGAAAAGAGAGUUAAAAAGUACGUGAAACCGUCGAAAGGGAAACGAAUGGACUCAGCAAUGCGCCCUCUGAGAUUCAGCCGGUGGGUGGCGGCGGCGCCGGGUUUGCGGAUCUGAAUGGACCGCGGCCUGGCGCCCGCCUCUCCCCGCCGUCGCACUUCUCUGGGGCGCGCGUCAACGUGGGUUGGGACUGGGUCUGAAAGGCGCCGGGAAGGUAGGUGUGGGCCUUCGGGUCCGUUCUGUUACAGCCCGGUUCUCUCAUGGCUCGGGCCCGACCGAGGAGCGACACGGGGCAUGCCUCCUGUGGCUAGGGUCCCGCCCUUCCGGCCGGCUGUCCAGUGCGGUGGACUGCUUGCAGUGCUCCGCGACGGCUGCCGGUCGUUGGGGUGGUGAUCUCGUACCAUGCCCCUAGGAUGUUGGCGGUCAUAUG